rnacentral:rRNA from 1 species
UACGUAGGGUGCGAGCGUUAAUCGGAAUUACUGGGCGUAAAGCGUGCGCAGGCGGUUCGUUAAGUCAGAUGUGAAAUCCCCGGGCUUAACCUGGGAACUGCAUUUGUGACUGCAUCGCUGGAGUGCGGCAGAGGGGGAUGGAAUUCCGCGUGUAGCAGUGAAAUGCGUAGAUAUGCGGAGGAACACCGAUGGCGAAGGCAAUCCCCUGGGCCUGCACUGACGCUCAUGCACGAAAGCGUGGGGAGCAAACAGG